rnacentral:tRNA from 1 species
GACCACGUGGCCUAAUGGAUAAGGCGUCUGACUUCGGAUCAGAAGACUGAGGGUUCGAAUCCUUUCGUGGUUG